ACCGGCGCACGGGUGCGUAACGCGUAUGCAACCUACCUUUUACAGAGGGAUAGCCCAGAGAAAUUUGGAUUAAUACCUCAUAGUAUAUAGUCUUCGCAUGUUGACUAUAUUAAAGUUCCAACGGUAAAAGAUGGGCAUGCGUCCUAUUAGCUAGAUGGUAAGGUAACGGCUUACCAUGGCAACGAUAGGUAGGGGUCCUGAGAGGGAGAUCCCCCACACUGGUACUGAGACACGGACCAGACUCCUACGGGAGGCAGCAGUGAGGAAUAUUGGACAAUGGGCGCAAGCCUGAUCCAGCCAUGCCGCGUGCAGGAAGAAGCAUCUAUGGUGUGUAAACUGCUUUUGUACGGGAAGAAACACUCCGACGUGUCGGAGCUUGACGGUACCGUAAGAAUAAGGAUCGGCUAACUCCGUGCCAGCAGCCGCGGUAAUACGGAGGAUCCAAGCGUUAUCCGGAAUCAUUGGGUUUAAAGGGUCCGUAGGCGGUUUAUUAAGUCAGUGGUGAAAGCCCGCAGCUCAACUGUGGAACGGCCAUUGAUACUGAUAGACUUGAAUUACUGGGAAGUAACUAGAAUAUGUAGUGUAGCGGUGAAAUGCUUAGAUAUUACAUGGAAUACCAAUUGCGAAGGCAGGUUACUACCAGUGGAUUGACGCUGAUGGACGAAAGCGUGGGGAGCGAACAGGAUUAGAUACCCUGGUA
rnacentral:rRNA from 1 species